UUUCCGUUGGUGAACCAGCGGAAGGAGAAUUACAGAGAUAAUGGCCUCACGGGUAGACCUCCCACCCUGUGUUAUAUACUCUUGUUGCUUUGGCAGGCCGCCUUCGGGCUCCCGGCUUCGGCUGGGGUGUGCCUGCCAGAGGACCCCAACUCUUUUGUUUAAAUGUCGUCUGAGUACUAUAUAAUAAGUUAAAACUUUCAACAACGGAUCUCUUGGUUCUGGCAGCGAUGAAGAACGCAGC
rnacentral:misc_RNA from 1 species